AGAGGUAGAGGUGGGGUAGAGAGAGGUAGAGGUGAAGUAGAGGUAGAGGUGGGGUAGAGAGAGGUAGAGGUGAAGUAGAGGUGAAGUGGAGGUAGAAGUGGGGCAGAGAGAGGUAGAUGUGAAGUAGAGGUGGGGUGGGAUAGAGGUAGAGAGAGAGAGGUGGGGCAGAGAGAGGUAGAGGUGGAGUAGAGGUAGAGGUGGGGUAGAGAGAGGUAGAGGUGAAGUAGAGGUAGAGGUGGGGUAGAGAGAGGUAGAGGUGAAGUAGAGGUAGAGGUGAAGUAGAGGUAGAGACAGGACAGAGAGAGGUAGAGGUGGGCAGAGAGAGAGGUAGAGGUGAAGUAGAGGUAGAGGUAGAGGUGGGAUAGAGGUAGAGAGAGAGAGGUGGGGCAGAGAGAGGUAGAGGUGAAGUAGAGGUAGAGGUGGGGGAGAGAGGUAGAGGUGAAGUAGAGGUAGAGGUGGGGCAGAGAGAGGUAGAGGUAAAGUAGAGGUAGGGGUGGGGUAGAGAGAGGUAGAGGAGAAGUAGAGGUAGAGGUGAAGUAGAGGUAGAGGUGGGAUAGAGGUAGAGAGAAAGAGGUGGGG
ensembl:lncRNA